rnacentral:lncRNA from 1 species
GGCCGGUGCAACAAGGUUGACGCGGUCAGUCUUUAUGCUUCAUGUAGGUUGAAUUUACUUACCAAAGGGGCAGAUUUGAUUUGCGUGCGGGGCUAAAUGCUUAAAGACGUUACGAAGAUCAUUACUUACCUAAGAUUUAUUUUAUUUUAUUUGAGGGUUUUAAGUUUAGAUUUAUAAGGUUGAGAGGCAUCAUUUUUUCUAUUUUUUUUUUCUAAGCAUGAAUACCUCAUUGUUUUACUAUUCCGUUGUUAAUAUAUAUGUAUUACAUGCAGUGCUAUGUUUAUUUGCCGUAAAAUACGUAAAAUUUGCGUGCAUUGUUCUUAAUUGUUAAUAUUUGCCUAAGUAUUCAAACUAUUCAAAAUUGUGAUCGUUCAAGUAGUUACUUGCUAACAUUUAACAUCAAUAUUUCAAAUCAAAUUGUAAAUGCUUUGUUCUAAAAUGAAUUAAUUAUAAUAAAUAAAUUUGUUCAGUGUUAAUAUUUAAGUAUAUGUAUAGUUUUACAUCAUUGAUACACCGACAAAGACGUGAAACUUUAGAAUACGUCGAUCUAAAGAUUGAAUUUGGACUUAAACGGACUGUAAGCGUUAUUUCAAGUGGCACCUCAAUGCAAGGGAAUGCCCGAAUGUCCACUGCGUAUAGUACAGUCUGCAGAGUUCAACGCAGCGCACAGCGGAGUUUGCAGCUGAUCAUACAAGCGGAUUUAGAUACGUGUACACACAUAUUUCUGUACUGGACGAACACAGAAAGGUUCUAUGGGUUCCAUUGUAAAUCAGGCAUUCCCCUCUUUGCAUGGAGGGUCAUUAAAAUUACGCUUACACUCCUUUUAAUUUCUAAGGUACAUUCGAUCAAGGAUAUUGAAUAUAUCUAUGUACAAAAAACAUCAAAAUCCCGUCCCCAUAGUAUUGUUAUUUGCCAAUUGUUUUGAAUAAUUUUUUUCAAUUGACAAAACUUCCAAGAUUCCAAUUUUAUUAUCGUAAAGUUCUUUUCAAUAUCUUUAUCUUUUUGGAUAGUUUUUUGUAUUUAUCUUCUGACAGGGUGAAAAUUAGAUAUAGUGUAAGCAAAGCAAAUCAACUUUUGUCCUCAUAAAAAAUUUUCAUUUUUUCUUUUUGAUUUGAAUUAUUUACUUGUGCUUAUUAUUCCAUUUUAAGUCGAGAUCUAUUUAUAUGGUAAAUUAGUGGUAAAAUACGCUCAACACAAUUAAUACUAAAUAUACAUUCAUGUCAAAAUAUUAAAUAGUAUAGACAGGCAAAAUAACUAUUUAUAACAUUCAUAUUUAUUUUUGACUUAAUUUCAAAUGAUUAUGAUAAUUAAGAACGAAAUGUGAGGUUUGCCAAAUUAUUGUAAUUUAUAAUGAUAAUAAGCAUGAACUGGUAGAGUUGCGAUCUUUUUGCUCCUAAAAGUUAAAACCCUAAUCUUAAAAAUAAAGAAAUUAUUGAAAUGGUCCUUAACAUCCUGAUUACUUUGGUUCUAAAAGUCUGAAUAAUUAUCGUAUGCUCUUAAUUUUUCUCAAACUCAUUACCCAUUAAAUAAAGUAUUGAAAUGUUACAUUUUAAACAAUUUCAAUUUAAAAGUUUCUUACAAAGAGAAUUUCAAACUAAAUUGUUGGCGUUCAUUUUGACACUGACGGGAGUGAAAAACAAUUGAUUUCCCUGGUUCAUAGUUCCAAAGAAAAAAUAUUAAAUUCUAUUUCUUAAAUAAUUCAGUAAAUGUUCAUGACCUGGCUCUGAAUUCAUUUUUUCAGGGCGGAUCCAUCAAAAUUAAAGGGAUUCUGGAUUGCAGAGACAUCAUUGGAAUUUGCUGGGUAAGGUAGGAAGUCAUAGUGUUUACUGUUUGUUUAUUUACAAUAAAACAAUUAUCAAUAA